UACGAAGGUGGCGAGCGUUGUUCGGAAUCACUGGGCUUAAAGCGCGCGUAGGCGGAAUGGACAGUGUCCUGUGAAAUCCCCCGGCUUAACCGAGGAAUUGCGGGGCAUACUGCCAUUCUUGAGGCAAGCAGGGGUGCAUGGAACUCUUGGUGGAGCGGUGGAAUGCGUAGAUAUCAAGAGGAACGCCGAAGGAGAAAUCAGUGCACUGGGCUUGUUCUGACGCUGAGGCGCGAAAGCGUGGGGAGCGAACGGGAUUAGAUACCCUCGUA
rnacentral:rRNA from 1 species